UUCGUAAUGGGUAUCAUAAAAAAAGUCUAUGAACUAAACGAUCUAUUGGGGCGUUGAAUGACGUCCGUUACGGUUACGAGCAAUAUUUAUUGUAAUUACAUUGUUUAGCCCGCUAAAAAGACUGUCAUUGUUUGAAAAGGGAGGCGAGUUCUCUCGUGGAAUCAACGAAGUACUCAACUUUAAAGUGAUAACUGAAGAACAACAUUAUUGUAUCGAUAAAAACCAUGCUUUUUCGCAGAAAUAUGUAACUCAUAUUUUUUUUAAAGCAACACUCACAACGUAUUGAAUAAAAUUAUCAUACACUUUUUUGUCUAACAUUUGUGAAAUACGAUAUUAUCAAGAUCACCAAGAAGGUAAUCUUCAAUUCUUAAUGAAUAUAACAAAAAACAUAAUUAAUGAUUAUUUGAUGGUUUUAUUAUUAUCUCUGUAUUACAAAAGCACAACAUGGUGUUAACAGUUUAUAUAGUUCGUAUGUUUCUGUAGGAAUAUACAAAUAAUAGUUCUCUAUCGCAACGUAAUCUAAAUGGAAAACCCUAAUUAAAUGACAAAAA
rnacentral:lncRNA from 1 species